AUUGAACGCUGGCAGCAGGCCUAACACAUGCAAGUCGAACGAGAAGAGGACGGGUGAGUAAUGUCUGGGAAAAUGCAUGAUGGAGGGGGAUAACUACGGGAAACGGUAACUAAUACCGCAUACCAUCAGAUAUUCCCAGAUGGGAUGAGCUUGUGGGUGGGGUAACGGCUCACCACGGCGACGAGCCUUAGCUGGUUUGAGAGGAUGACAAUGCACACUGGAACGGAGACACGGGCCAGACGCCUACGGUAGGCAGCAGUGGUGAAUAGUGGACAAUGGGCUAAAGCCUGAUCCAGCCAUGCCGCGUGUGUGAAGAAGGUCUUCGGAUUGUAAAGCACUUUAAGUUGGUAGGCGUUACCAACAGAAUAAGCACCGGCUAACUUCGUGCCAGCAGCCGCGGUAAUAC
rnacentral:rRNA from 1 species